rnacentral:ncRNA from 1 species
GUGAUAACGAAGAUAGGGACAGUACAUAUGAAGUACUAGGCAAAGCGAGUCAGGGUUGGUGGGAGCCUGACACUAGAUUCAUUUGGAAGAUCACCCUUGAGUUGCAUACCGAACGGAAUAAUGUUCUUAGUAGACUAUGCCGGCUAAUGACCGUUAAACGAUUACUAAGUGAAUAUAACAGUGUUAUAUUUAUUAGGGUGGUAACGCGGGUAUCCUUCUCGUCCCUUUG